rnacentral:lncRNA from 1 species
AACUAUCCUCAAAGAAGCAGUCACAUUUCACUUUUGGAAUGGCUUAACUUCAGCUAUGGUUCCAGAGCCUGAGUGCCUUGCAUACCAGAUCAUUAAUUACAAUUGCCUACAUUGUUCUGAAGAAUUGUGAAUCACCAUUAAAGCAGAUGCCUUAUAAAACAUUUUAGUUUCAUGCCAUUAGAUACCUCACAGCUUUUAAAGAGAUUCGAAAGAGUGUCAGUUAUGAAGAUGUACAUUUGAAAUUCCGGUGUUGUUUUCAAUGAAGAAAGGCUGCUUGAGCCCUCCAUACCAGAUCAUUAAUUGCAGUGGCCUACAUAAUUGUGAAUCAUUUGCAAACCAUUAAAGCAGAUGGCCUGGUAAAACAUUUUAGUUUCAUGCCAUUAGAUACCUCACAGCUUUUAAAGAGAUUGGAAAGAGUGUCAGUUAUGAAGAUGUACAUUUGAAAUUCCGGUGUUGUCUAUAUACAAAUUGUUGUUGUAGGAAACAUGAAUCUAUAGUUGGUUGAAAGCUUCUGACCUUGUGU